CAGCCGCCACGGUAAUACCGAGGGUGCGAGCGUUAAUCGGAUUUACUGGGCGUAAAGCGAGCGCAGGCGGUUAGAUAAGUCUGAAGUUAAAGGCUGUGGCUUAACCAUAGUACGCUUUGGAAACUGUUUAACUUGAGUGCAAGAGGGGAGAGUGGAAUUCCAUGUGUAGCGGUGAAAUGCGUAGAGAUGUGGAGGAACACCAGUGGCGAAGGCGACUCUCUGGUCUGUAACUGACGCUGGGGAGCGAAAGCGUGGGGAGCGAACAGGAUUAGAUACCCGUGUAGUCCCUGUCUCUUAUACA
rnacentral:rRNA from 1 species